CUUAACACAUGCAAGUCGAGCGGAAAGGCCCUUCGGGGGUACUCGAGCGGCGAACGGGUGAGUAACACGUGGGUAAUCAACCCCUGACAUCGGGAUACCCCGGGGAAGCCCGGAUCAAUACCGGAUAAGGUGCGGAGGCGCAGGCCGCCGUACCAAAGAUAGCUUCGGCUUUCGGUCAAGGACGAGCCCGCGGCCCAUUAGCUUGUUGGUGGGGUAAUGGCCUACCAAGGCGACGAUGGGUAACUGGUCUGAGAGGACGAUCAGCCACACUGGGACUGAGACACGGCCCAGACUCC
rnacentral:rRNA from 1 species